GAUUAAAGGGCCGCAGUAGCCUGACUGUGCUAAGGUAGCAUAAUCAUUAGGUUUUUAAUUGGGAUCUGGAAUGAAUGAGUGAAUGGGGAGUAGCUGUCUUAGGGGUUGGAUUUGAAUUUAAAAUUUUAGUAAUAAUGCUGGAAUUAAUCUGUGGGACGAUAAGACCCUAUAAAGCUUUAUUUGUAGUGUUUUGGUAUUUUUACUAAGUUGAGAUUAAUAUGAAUUUAACUGGGGCGGUUAGUAAAAUUACAGUUUGUAAAUAGAAAAUAUUGAUCCAUCUAUGAUGAGAUUAGAUUAAGUUACUUUAGGGAUAACAGCAUAAUAUACCUAUGGAGUUCUAAUCGAAGGGUAUGAUUGUGACCUCGAUGUUGAAUUAAUUUUAUUAUACGGUGAAGAAGCUGUAUGAGUUAGUCUGUUCGACUAUUGAAUAGUUACGUGAUUUGAGUUCAAACCGGUUUGAG
rnacentral:rRNA from 1 species